AAUAAGGUCCUAAAUGCCCUGAAGGCAGCAGAUCCCAUUUGAUCUUGGAAGCUAAGUAGGGCCAGGCCUGGUUAGUACUUUGAUGAGAGGUCACCAAUGAAUACCAGGCACUGUAGGCU
rnacentral:rRNA from 1 species